UCAAAUUUGCACCUCCCAUUUGUACAUUCAUUUCAUUUUUAGGUCAUUAACAUUGCAUUCACAUUGCAUAGUGCAUUGUAUUUCAUCAGUCAAGACUGAUCAGAAGAAGUCAUCUGUGCAAGAGAGCAAGGGAUUUUCAUGAUGGAAAAGGUCUGUGGGUGUUCUAGAGGGCUUACGUGAUCCAAGGUUCUUUCUGAUGCGUUUUGGCCAAGUGUUGAAGGCUCAAAGUCCACAGUGCAUGACCAAGUCAUCUGAGGCCCAUAAAAGUCAACUGUAAGUCAACUGAGGGCUAGGAGGUGGAGAGAUGGGUUGAGACGCUUCCUUCAUG
rnacentral:lncRNA from 1 species